rnacentral:rRNA from 1 species
UACAGAGGGUGCGAGCGUUGUCCGGAUUGACUGGGCGUAAAGCGCACGCAGGCGGUUGCGCGCGGGGGGUGUGAAAUCUGGCCGCUUAACGGCCAGGCGCCAUCCCAUACGGCGCGACUGGAGUGAUGCAGAGGUCGAUGGAAUUGCCGGUGUAGUGGUGAAAUGCGUAGAGAUCGGCAGGAACACCCAGGGGGAAACCAGUCGACUGGGCAUCUACUGACGCUGAGGUGCGAGAGCGUGGGGAGCGAACCGG